AGCAGUGUGAGGACCCUAGUGCCAGUGAGGGUGUGGCAUUCGGGGUGAGCGGACCCCAGCCCCAGAGAGGGGCAGCUGAGAAGCCCCAGAGAAGGAGACAUUGCUGAGAAGCCCCAGUGCGGGUGUGGUGAGCCCUGGAGAAAGGGUGGCAUUACUGAGAGGCCCCCGAGAGAGGGUGACAUUACUGAGAAGGCCCCAGAGAGAGGGGCAGCAUUACUGAGAAGGCCCUAGAGGGAGGGGAAGCUUUACUGAGAAGGCCCAGAGAAGGGGGCAGCGCUUGAGAAGGCCCCAGAGAAGGGGGCAGCAUUAUUGAGGAGCCCCAGAGAAGGGGGCGGCAUUUACUGAGAAGGCCCGGAGAGAGUGCAGCGUUACUGAGGAGCCCCAGAGAGAGGGCCGCGGAGAGCCCGAGCACCAGAGAGGGGGUGUAGACCUGGACUGAACAACAUCUAUUCCAAUUGCGAGGCUUGGGGCAUAGUAAAGGGGUGGUAGGAGCCAUGCAUAGCCCCUAAGGCUAGGGUGCCCCUGAAGCACCCACUGUAGAGCGGGACCCACGAGGAGUCCGGUAAACCACGGGGUCUUAGUAUCCAUCAAGAAGUGACCAAGAGGGCGUAAAAGGCAGCCUCCCUAACAUAUUUGAACAACAAAGACAUGGUGGGUGAGAAUUUGAGGGUGCCCUUGGGCUAACUUGGCACAGGAAGGGGGCCUUGAGGAGAUCACAGCCCUCCUGCAGGACCCCUCUGUGACACCUUGCAACUGGCAAAAAGAAAAUUAUUUGAUAAAAAGUUUCCAGUAAAUCGUAACAAAGCAUUACAAAAGAAACAAAAAUGCUUCAGGUUAAAAAGAUAUUGGCAUGACAGUGGUUAUAUAGUCUAUCAGAUGUUGCAUACUUUCCUUUCACUGGAGUGACUUGUGGACAUUAUACCAAAAGACUUAGAGCUGAAAUAUAGAGCCUGGAAUUCUGCAAUCUUAAAUGGUAUUUGAAAGAAAUGAUUUGUGCGACUUUCUUGGCCUGCCACCAGAUGGCAUCAUUGUUCCACAUGCUUGACAAUAAAUGUGCAAAUGGUACCUUCAGACAAUUUGACAAGUUAUUAUACUUUAUUAAAUCAGCUCGACUGAGUUUUUCAGACAGUGCCCCAUGUAGAUGCUAUGUUACAAGCUAUGAGAUAAAGUAACUACAAAUUUGAUAUGUUCUUCACUGGCAUAUGUCCCUCUUGUGUGGAAUUGUGAAUCCUCUUUUUCCUUUUAAUAUUGUAGGCUUUGGGCCUAUGAUGACAAAAUUGAGAUGUACAAGUCUGGAGGGAGUACCAGGUGUAACAGGAGUAGGCAUCUAAGUAAGUCUCUCCUGCUUCAUCAGAAAGGCUCUUGAGGACUUGAUUGGCAAUGUUGGUUUUGUCUUUAGUACCACUUUUGAUUUAACAGGUGUUAAAUCAGUUUUGGAGGAUGUAACAGGAGGAACGGCAGGGUCGCCGUGCUAGCCCUUGCUGCCUCCUCUACUGUGCCAAGCUUCGGACUUGCACCCUCCUAUUCUCGCCCGCCACGACUUCGAUGAUGUGUCUUUGUAGGGAAGCUACCUCUCCUCCACUUGGCCACAGUUCUCCUGCUCCGGGUGUCCGGCGUGUCUAGGCCUUGCGGGCCUUCUCUAUACGCUGCCCUUCUCACUAGGGCUCUUCCCUGCAGUGCCGCCCUCUCACCGGGCUCUUCCCUCUGCAAGGCUGCCCUUCUCACCGGGCUCUUCUUUGGAGCUGGGGUCUGUACCCCCGAACUCCGUGCCCUCACUGGGGCUGGGGUCCUCACUCUACCGUGAGUUCCCUAUGAGGCCUCCUCCAUCCCCUUAUAGCCUCACCCAAACCACCGGUGUAACAAUAGCAAACACAAACAACAACAUAAACACAAGCUCCUGGGCUACAAUGCAAACAUAAGCCUCCAGCUAUAACUAGGCUCCGGCCUACCAGGUUUUCUCUCCUACUGCGGUGACCAAUGCUGCUCUGGCAUUCAGAUUCUCUCUCUUCUGGCCAGGAGCUCCCUCAUCCUUAGCUGUUGGUAGGGAACUCCCUCCUGGCCUCCUGCCUGUGGUUUUUAUAGGCCAGCCCCUGCCCCUUCUUUCAGCCGGCUAGGCAGGUGUAACCCAUUAGCCCCCUUUUGUUGCCUUGGCGACCGGCAUCUGACGAGCCUUCCUGGCUCUCGCAGUAGCAGGCACCUUAGUGUCCUGCUACAGAGGAAAAGGGAUUCCUUUUCAAUAUAAGGAGGAUGAGGCCAGAGCAGCACGUAUCUUGGGUCCUGUGUCUCAGGAUCUCUGCAUGUAUCAGAACACUCAGUUGACCUGCUGCAGUAUCAAGUCAUAUGCACUGAGAAUCCAGGUAAGCCCAGAGCCUCAAAAGUCUCUUUUUUUUUCUAUGGUGGGAAGUGAAGGUGCAAAAAGAGACAACUGAGCAGAUCUUGCCCAGAUACGGGAAAGUUAUUGCAGAAGUUUGUAAAUCAUUAAUUAUUUCAAAGUGAAUUCAAAAGUAAAAAAGUAAAGCAUCUACAGGGCCAAAAUAUUAAAACAUUAUUUUCGUUCCUCAGUUUUUUGUGCCCAAUUUGAGGUGCCUAAAGAACCUGAUUUUUCAGACAGUGCUGAGCUCCUGUACACUGACAAUCAAGUUAAAUGACCAGUCACUGGAAAAUGUCCAUCAUUCACAAUAUAAUAUAGAUAUUUUCUCAAUGCCUGCUUUUCUCUGUGAGGGCUUUAUAAAGCCAUCUGUCACCACAGUGUUUGAGCACUUCCCCUAACAAAUGAAUAGUGAUGGCAAAGUCCAUUGUGAACUUCAUGUAAUUCCUCUCUUUUUUUGCUUGCAGUGUUAUCUGUGACUCGAGAAGAAUGUACAGCUUUGACAGCUUAAUUUGCUUGUGCUCCAGUUUUCAUUUUUUUUUUAACUUUUUUUUUUGGAUGUAGGUGGUUGGGGUCUUGAUGAUGCGAGCAUCAUUCUCACUGUGGUAGAAAGAAACAUUUGCAACAUUUCCUAGAGACAGUCACGCUCUAUAUUUGCUCACUCUCCUCUGGAAGCUUGUUCCAUAAUCAGAUCUCCACCAGGAAUGGACAACUCCCAACCCUAUGAAAUCUUCCAGAGGCUUCUUGACACACAUACAUUUAUUUGGAUUGAGAUAUGAGGGUCAAUACACCAGGUGAAACUAUUUAAAGAAGGGAGAAGGAGUUAAGACAAAGAAGAUGGGAAAUAGAAGGGGCUUCUAACGUAAUUGUUUCUCAAGAGAAAACAAAGUAGAUCUCAGGUGCUAUGUGUGGCUGGCACUGGGUGUGUGGCUGGAACUUGCUCAGGAUGGUGCCUGUGCCUUCGCUUCAGAGGAUAACAGCAGAAACAGGGAAACUGAGGAGUUCUGGCAUGGCAAAUGGGAUGUUGCUUAUCAACCACUUACAGUAGCAUCCACACAGACACAGACUGAAAGAAGAAAGAAUAGCUACAGCUCUUAAUUGUAAAUAUGAUUAUGGCGAUGAUGAUAAUGAUGUCAGUUUGGAUUCCAUUGUCUGCACUCUGGCCCUCCUUUUCCGGACAGGUCUUAUUAUCAAAGGAAUGGAUGUACAACUGGAGAACUCUCCCUGGGUAUGCCUUCAGAUCGAGUGGAUUGAUUGUUAAGAUAGUCACAGCACAGGUGCAGCCCAGUACACAGGGUUCAGAAGAUUUAUAAUCAUGUGUAUGCACACUCAUAGCAACCCAAAGCAACUGCUACUAUGAGGUAAAUAGCCAUUCUUUCUCUUUUGAGUAUCAAAUUGUUCUCUCCUUCAUGGAGUAUAGUCAUUCCCUGCAGGCUUUUCAUGGAAUUUGUAUGGAAUUCUCUCUCUCUCCCUUUCAGGUUGGUUUUCCCACCCUCCAGGUUUCUUUCCAUUCUAUUUAACCCAGUCAGUGCUUUUUUCAAAUAUUUCUCAUGGGACUGAGCUGAACCUUUUAGUCUGGAGUUGACAAAGCAGUUUAAUAGGAUUUGGACAUAUCUAUCUCUUAAGCUCUUGGGAAAUUGUAACCUUAAUCCUGUUGGCUGCCUGUCUGUCUGUGAAAGCUAGGGUAGAGCCCAGGAGAAGAAGGUAGUUCUGCCACUGCCAGAAGCAGCUCAAGAAAUAAAUCUUUAGAACCCAAAGGCAAUGCUACUACUAUAUUAUUUUGUGUUUAUGGCAAAGGAACUUGAGCCCUACCAGGUACAAUGUGGGACUUUCCCAAUGAAAUCAGCACAGUUGGCAAAGACAUUUAUGAUUUGACCAGCCUGUUUUAACCUGUGGAUUCUGUAGUUCCUGAAAGUAGUUACAGCCAUUACAGUGGGAAUGUAGGUACUGAGCAUUUGUAAGUGAAUGAAGACUCAGUUAUCCAGCAGUCAGUCAUCCUUAAGGUAAGAGAGUCUGUCUUCCUGUGUUUUGAAAGUGUCUUUGCACUACUAUAGCCUGAACAAUAAUUACACACAUCAGAACUACAUUAUAAGAACAUUAUGAAUAUUGCAAAGUCAAGCACUCAGUGUUAGUUAUCCUAAUGUCAGAUUAAAGUUGCUGAAGGAACCUUAAUUCAGCUUCUAUUUUCAUAUGCUUAAUACACUCCUUAUUUAUGUAUAAAAGCAUAUUUCUGUAGCAAUCUGAAUCAUUCAAUGCACAGGAUUGACAGUGCUCACUUAAGGGGCAGAUAUUUAGGUUUCUUUUGUUUUCUUUUUUUCUUUUUAGUUCAAUGUUCUAGGGGAUAAUAAACCCCCCACUGAUACAAUUAAGUAUCGGGUAACAAAGGAUCAAACAGCACAUUUCCUCAAAGCACAACAAAAGAAUACAGCCCCAGGCCCAGAGAGAAAACCAGUGGAAAUUUACAUUGAUAACAUCAAAUGGUGGACUCUGAUCUUGGAACAAUGGUAUAACUCUAUAAUCGAGCUGGGCCAAAUCCCAGAUUCCUGGAAAGGGAGUAUUAUUGUACCAAUUUUCAAGAAAGUUUUAAAAGAUAAGCCAGAAUUGUAUCGCCCUAUAAGCUUGAUAGACAUUUCAGUUAAAAUUGUUGGGCGCCAUUUUUUAUAUCGCCUCAUAACAUGGGUAAAAGGGGAAAACAUUUUACAUGAACAUCAGACUGGAUUUAGGGACAGAAAUUCCACUAUUGAUAACAUAUUUAUUCUUCAAUUUUUGAGACAUAAGUAUACGCAAAUGCGCAAAUCAGCACUGUAUAUUGCAUUCGUAGACUUGUUAAGAGCUUUCGAUAGUAUAAAUAGAAGUAAACUUUGGGAGAAACUGAUAACCUAUGGGAUUGACCCUUCUUUUUUGCAUUUGUUGAUAAAAUAUUAUAAAGAUACAUGGGUCCACGUUAAGUGGGGCUUGAAGGGUGAACUUACACAAAAAAUUCAACUACAAAAAGAGGUUAGACAAGGAUGUAUUUUGGCCCCUUUGUUAUUUAAUCAUUACAUGAAUUAUAUUAUUGGAAAUAUGCAGGAUGCACAUUUUCAUCCCCCAAAUUAUUAGCAACCCCGAUUCCUAUUUUAAUAUAUGCAGAUGGCACUGUUAUACUGUCAAGAACUCCUAUUGGAUUACAGAGAGCAAUUACAACUUCUGACUCUUCCUCCCUCAACCCCUGCAUCUUUUUCUGAGAUUAGAGAUGGGAAUGGAUUCUAUUUCAAUUAAUAUUAUUAUUAUAAUGGUGGGAUUUUGGUUUAAAAUCCUGCCCCUUGUACCAUCUUGUCUGCUUAAAUUUUGCUACAUAGAAGAUAUUAAUAAUCCCCCUCCCCUCCAAUCACCCUGGUUAGCUUUUCUUUCCCGUACUUUUGCACUUUCUGGGAUGGGAUACUAUCUCAAAGAUAAUGAAAGAUCUUUCUACCCCAUAGAAAAGGUUCAGGUUUUCCAGAGGAUACGAGAUAUUGCCUGGCAGAAUGAUUUUGCAGUGCCUAGGGCUACUCACAUUGCACCUUUAUAUACUUUUUGGAAAUUAGAUGGCGGGGGGGAAGGUAUUUGCAUUUGGAUCUCAAUAAUAAAUGGCAAUUCCUUUGACUAGACUCAGGACCAAACAGAUGCCCACAGCUGUUCUGGCUGGAUGUAGAUUGUCCAUUCCAAGGGCUAAAAGAUGUUGCCCUGUCUGCCUAGGAGUUUUGGAAGAUACUAUCCACUAUGUAUUAGAAUGCUCUUUAUAUAAUGACACAAGGAUAAUCUAUUUAUUACCGUACUUGCAGAAAUUGAUACAUUUCUCAAACAGAGAGAAAUGAAUCUGGCUUUUACAGCAAACAGAUCCAAAUGUAGUAACUGUCUUGCAAUGUUUGCUUACAAGGCUGAGGCGAUUAGAGUGAAAUAUCCUUUAUUACUGAUAUGAGUGAUACAUUUUAACAUUAGACUUGAUUUUAUUGUUUCCGUUCUGGAUCUAUGUACAACAAUAUUAUAGAUUCAUGUCUUGAUUUACUACUAUAUUUAUAUUAAUAAUGUUUUUAUGUUGGUGGGCUCUAUUUUUAGUAUAUUUGUAGUUCAGUUACCCUGUUCAUACUUAUUUAUAUUAUGGGUGUAUGUGUGUUAUGUUGUCUUUGGGAGCAUGGCAUUUAGCCAGUAUCCUUAAUAAUAAAUUGAAUUGAAUUGAA